rnacentral:rRNA from 1 species
UACGGGGGGGGUAAGCGUUGUUCGGAAUUACUGGGCGUAAAGGGCUCGUAGGCGGCCAACUAAGUCAUACGUGAAAUCCCUCAGCUUAACUGGGGAACUGCGUGUGAUACUGGAUGGCUUGGAUUUGGGAGAGGGAUGCGGAAUUCCAGGUGUAGCGGUGAAAUGCGUAGAUAUCGAGAGGAACACCUGCGGCGAAGGCGGGUAGCUGGGCCGACACUGACGCUGAGGCGCGAAAGCCAGGGGAGCGAACGGG